CAAGACCUUGCGCUCUUAGAGCGGCCGAUGUCUGAUUAGCUAGUUGGUGAGGUAAAGGCUUACCAAGGCGACGAUCAGUAGCUGGUCUGAGAGGACGACCAGCCACACUGGGACUGAGACACGGCCCAGACUCCUACGGGAGGCAGCAGUGGGGAAUUUUGGACAAUGGGGGAAACCCUGAUCCAGCCAUGCCGCGUGAGUGAAGGAGGCCUUCGGGUUGUAAAGCACAUUCAGCCGGAACGAAAAGGUCACGGCUAAUACCUGUGAUCACUGACGGUACCGGAAGAAGAAGCACCGGCUAACUACGUCCCAGCAGCCGCGGUAAUACGUAGGGUGCAAGCGUUAAUCGGAAUUACUGGGCGUAAAGCGUGCGCAGGCGGCAUUGUAAGUCAGAUGCGAAAUCCCCGGGCUUAACCUGGGAACA
rnacentral:rRNA from 1 species